AGAAUUUUAAUGGUCGAACAGACCAACCCUUAAAGACUUCUGCACCUUUAGGAUAUUCUGGUCCAACAUCGAGGUCACAAACCUUUUUUUCGAUUAGAGCUCUUAAAAAAGAUAAUGCUGUUAUCCCUACGGUAACUAUUUCCAUUAAUCAUAAUUUAUGGAUCAAUACAAGUAAGUUUUUAGUUUAUAAAGAAGCUUUACUUGUUCCUUAGUCGCCCCAACCAAAAUUUUUAAUAAUUGUUUUUUACGUAGUAUAUAAUUGAGUUUAUUAAUUUUUUUAAAGCUCGAUAGGGUCUUCUUGUCUUUUAAUUUAAUACAGACUUCUUCAUCUGAAAAUAAAAUUCUAUGAAAUUAAAAAGAGACAGCUUUGCUCUUGUGAGACCAUUCAUUCCAGUCCUCAAUUAUAGGACAAGUUAUUAUGCUACCUUAGCACAGUUAAGAUACUGCGGCCGUUGAAAAAAAUCACUGGGCAGGCCGGACUCUUUAUGUAAGCUUGACAAAGAGCC
rnacentral:rRNA from 1 species